rnacentral:lncRNA from 1 species
CCAAAUGUACACUCCAUAUCUAAGAAUGGACCAUUGCUGGACUAAAUGCUUGCAUCUUCAUGAUCUACAAUCGCAGCUGCAUCCGAUAGGCUAGCAUUGUACGUCUUCAGCCUUUUCAUGGACUUCAAUUUGUUGUAGGGCGAAUUAAGAAGGACAACAGGAAGCUCUCUUCUAUAAUUGUCGAUGUAUGCCUGCAUGGGAGGAUAUGUUAGUACCAUUCCAUAUGUUUACAAAAUUGAGAGAAUUUUAGGUGUUCCUCUACGUACUUGGUCAUAAUGCAGUCUAAGAUCUUCUCCCGUAAAGAAUUCGAUGUUCUUCAGCAUGUAGAGUGCACAAGAAGAACUACAACAAUUAAUUCUGUUAGCAGCAUUUCACGUAUUAACAAUGAAAAACAUAAUUAGAAGCUAAUAUUGUUGACUGACUUGUCAUCUUGUCUUGGCACAGGCACAUGCUUUACUGUCCAUUGGGUCACGUUAAUGUCUUGCCAUGC